rnacentral:rRNA from 1 species
UACGGGGGGGGGGUAAGCGUUGUUCGGAAUUACUGGGCGUAAAGGGCUCGUAGGCGGCCAACUAAGUCAUACGUGAAAUCCCUCAGCUUAACUGGGGAACUGCGUGUGAUACUGGAUGGCUUGGAUUUGGGAGAGGGAUGCGGAAUUCCAGGUGUAGCGGUGAAAUGCGUAGAUAUCUGGAGGAACACCGGUGGCGAAGGCGGCGAUCCUGGAUCAAUAUUGACGCUGAGGAGCGAAAGCUAGGGGAGCAAACGGGG